GAAAAGCUUCAUUUUUGGUGGCUCUAUUGUAUAAAGGGAUGCAGAGACUAAGGAGGCUUUACUAAUAGGAUUAAGGUAAUUUGGUUAAAAUGGAGAGGUGUGACUGGUGUAUUUUGUGAUUGUAAAAUCCCUAUUAAGUUGAAGGGAAAGUCCUACACGUUUGUCUAUGAUUUACAUUAGUCAAUGUUGGGCAAUGAAGAAAUGUGUGACAAAAUGGGUGUGCCAAAGAUGGAUGCUUGGAAACACAAGAAAGGACUACAUGAGGAAUGAGUGUAUAUCGGUAGGAAUUUGGAAGUGGCA
rnacentral:misc_RNA from 1 species